rnacentral:sRNA from 1 species
GCCGGUGUAAGACCUCAACGGAGAUCCUUCCGGGCGGGCUACCGGCGGUGAAGCAGGAACUCUCACGGGCGACCGUGGGAAUCCCCUCCCCUCAGGGAGAGGAGGAGGUCAAGCGGAGAUCUUC